rnacentral:rRNA from 1 species
AAUCUCUUAGAAAUAAGAGAGUGCCUCAUUAGAGGAGCCUGGUGACAGGUGCUGCAUGGCUGUCGUCAGCUCGUGUCGUGAGAUGUUGGGUUAAGUCCCGCAACGAGCGCAACCCUUGCCUUUAGUUGCCAUCAUUAAGUUGGGCACUCUAGAGGGACUGCCGGUGUCAAGCCGGAGGAAGGUGGGGAUGACGUCAAGUCCUCAUGGCCUUUAUGACCAGGGCUACACACGUACUACAAUGGCAUGUACAAAGGGCAGCCACUUCGCAAGAAGGAGCGAAUCCUUAAAACAUGUCUCAGUCCGGAUUGGAGUCUGCAACUCGACUCCAUGAAGUUGGAAUCGCUAGUAAUCGUAGAUCAGCAUGCUACGGUGAAUACGUUCCCGGGCCUUGUACACACCGCCCGUCACACCACGGGAGUUGGUUGUACCAGAAGUAGUUGAGCGAACCUUCGGGACGCAGACUACCAAGGUAUGGCUGGUAACUGGGGUGAAGUCGUAACAAGGUA